CGUGGCAGCUGCAAUGCACUCUCUCCUCCCCUCUCUUCCUGCAGACGAUGCGCCAGCUCAACGGAACGAGUGUUUCGGCUCAUCGCUUCACCAGUCACCACCCCGACAGAGACCGCCACCGUUGUCAAGCAUGUUGGGUGCACCGAGUCCGGCAGCAGGCGAAUUCAGACGCCGUCUUGCACAGCUUCGGGGGUGAAGGGCGGACUAGGCAGCAGAGGCACUAACGGGCCGAAGAUCCUGGCAGCCCUCUCCGCGCCGAGGAGCAGCACCAUCCGCGAGAACCCUCAAAGAGCUCUGAAGGCAGGGCUGCCUGUCGAGUGGCUGAUAGAGGGACAAGACAAUGAGGUGCUCACAGGGGUGGAAGCUUGCCACGCGGGAAGACGACACCCCACGGAGCUGCCUUUUCCUCUGCCAGAGUGCACGCCAAUGCAGCUGUGUUGCGCGUGCAGACGACCGGCGAUGCUCACGGAGGACCUGACCGGAGCGGGGCUGUACCGCCAAGUCAGCACUGCGGAGAGAAGCGACUGCUGCAUUCCCCUGCACACGCGACAUCGCUGGCCAGCCGGUAUCCCCGCAUGGGGUCGACUCGCCGCAAGGCACGGCAGCGUACUUUUGGCUUCGCCUCCGUCCGUCAUCGUGGGGGCCAGACGUACGCAAGACCUUCUCGAGGAUUGCGGCACAGCGGCUUCUGACCUUCGUCAGGUGCAUGGCGCAACAACGCCUCGGCGCUGACUGCGAGGGCUUCUCAUGUUGAUCUAUGUGUUCGCAGACGCAUCAGAUGAAGCGGUACGACGGCCCCCAAGACCGCACCCAUGCCGCUUGCGCCCCGGUCUUCCACAGGGGCACAGCGAAAGGCGGCCUGGGGAGGCGAGGCUUCCGUGCACGGCUACGUGGACUUCCGUAACUGCAAAACCGAACAGACGCCUCCACAAAGGGCCGGGGGCCGUGUCCUCCCCUUUCCUUAUCAUGUGCGGCCGGUUUGACACCGAGGAGAACGUCCCGCUGGAGUAAUCCGAGGCAACUCAUGGCUGAGCGUCGCGAGGAGGACCUGAAAAGCGUCGACCAAUCGUGUCCCGCUACGCAACGAUGCACAGCGCGCUGACACCCCCGUGCCGCUGUGUGCUGAUCGGGGGCAACCCAUGAACACCGAGGAAUCGCCGGAAUGGUCAGCAGUGCACGGCAGGAUGGCACCGGUUGAUGGGCAGCGAGAUUCCAAAUCGGGCGCCACACGUGCCCGGUGGGUCUGACCUACAGAGGAGGGUCAGGGCCAACCACCUCGUGAGGCCCGUAGCCGGUGGCAUCCCGCCUCAGCAGGCAGGACGGUUUGACGCUGGCGGCACCGACCGAGCCAGCGGACGAGCAAGCAGACCUCGUGCAAGGACCUCGCAGCGGCCAAGAAUAAGACGAGGCGGGCGGGGCGUGCUCAAGGACGUCGACCCGGACCUGAAGCUGGCCCCAGUACGCAAAGCAGUGGCCCACCAUCUGGCGCAGAUCGGGAAGGGGGUCCUAAAGGAGGACAUGAUGCAACCAGCCAGACAUGCAACGAUCGAAACGGUGCGGCGACACCUGGGCUACUCCCAGCAACCUACGUUGGAGGCCGUUUGAGUGCAGCACAACGCCUCAGUCUUCCUCUCCAAGACCCAACGGGGUAGGCCGCACGCCGCCAAACGUUCAUGAAUUCUCGGCAUUGCCGCUAGCGAGUCGCCCGAGGGAAUUUGGGUGCUCCAGGGGGCCUGGCCGCGGGCCAGGGCGCGGCCACCCCCUCCGGCUCGCCUUAAGGGUAUGGCGUGGUUGGGUGCCGGGGCUGGCGUAUGCCCGGCGGCGGCGGUGGGGUGAUGGCUGAGGUGGGGGGGCUCGUUUGUCCCGGCCCCCCCCCGCGCCCUUUAGGGGGCCGGGGGCGUGCAGGCAGCUUUCGGCAGCGGGGC
rnacentral:misc_RNA from 1 species